AUAACGACUCUCGGCAACGGAUAUCUCGGCUCUCGCAUCGAUGAAGAACGUAGCGAAAUGCGAUACUUGGUGUGAAUUGCAGAAUCCCGUGAACCAUCGAGUCUUUGAACGCAAGUUGCGCCUGAAGCCAUCAGGCUGAAGGCACGUCUGCCUGGGCGUCACG
rnacentral:rRNA from 1 species